ACACUGCCAGGCGGGGAGUUUGACUGGGGCGGUACAUCUGUCAAAGAAUAACGCAGGUGUCCUAAGGCCAGCUCAGCAAGAACAGAAACCUCGCGUAGAGCAAGUCUUGGUUCACUUUUGAAAAGAUAACACUGUUUUUUUAGAUCAAAGCCUGCCUAAAUUUGAGGCCCUUGCAG
rnacentral:ncRNA from 1 species